rnacentral:rRNA from 1 species
UCCUACCGGAAGCAGCAGUCGAAUCUACGCAAUGACGAAGGUCGGACGAAGCACGCGCUGAGCGAUGAGCUUCGGUCGUAAGCUCUGUUGUCAGGAGACAGUACCGAGUACUGCCCGUACCUUGACGGUACUGACCAGAAAGCCACGGCUAACUACGUGCCAGCAGCCGCGGUAAUACGUAGGUGGCAGCGUUGUCUGGAAUUAUUGGGCGUAAAGCGCGCGCAGGGCGGUUCUUUAAGUCUGAUGUGAAAGCCCCCGGCUCAACCGGGGAGGGUCAUUGGAAACUGGGGAACUUGAGUGCAGAAGAGGAGAGCGGAAUUCCACGUGUAGCGGUGAAAUGCGUAGAGAUGUGGAGGAACACCAGUGGCGAAGGCGGCUCUCUGGUCUGUAACUGACGCUGAGGCGCGAAAGCGUGGGGAGCGAACAGGAUUAGAUACCCUGGUAGUCCACGCCGUAAACGAUGAGUGCUAAGUGUUAGAGGGUUUCCGCCCUUUAGUGCUGCAGCAAACGCAUUAAGCACUCCGCCUGGGGAGUACGGCCGCAAGGCUGAAACUCAAAGGAAUUGACGGGGGCCCGCACAAGCGGUGGAGCAUGUGGUUUAAUUCGAAGCAACGCGAAGAACCUUACCAGGUCUUGACAUCCUCUGACAACCCUAGAGAUAGGGCUUUCCCCUUCGGGGGACAGAGUGACAGGUGGUGCAUGGUUGUCGUCAGCUCGUGUCGUGAGAUGUUGGGUUAAGUCCCGCAACGAGCGCAACCCUUGAUCUUAGUUGCCAGCAUUAAGUUGGGCACUCUAAGGUGACUGCCGGUGACAAACCGGAGGAAGGUGGGGAUGACGUCAAAUCAUCAUGCCCCUUAUGACCUGGGCUACACACGUGCUACAAUGGAUGGAACAAAGGGCAGCGAAGCCGCGAGGUGAAGCCAAUCCCAUAAAACCAUUCUCAGUUCGGAUUGCAGGCUGCAACUCGCCUGCAUGAAGCCGGAAUCGCUAGUAAUCGCGGAUCAGCAUGCCGCGGUGAAUACGUUCCCGGGCCUUGUACACACCGCCCGUCACACCACGAGAGUUUGUAACACCCGAAGUUCGGUGGGAUAUCGUAACAAGGUAAGCCGCGCGAAGAGUAACG